CUGGGCGCGGGAAUCCCGGCGGAUCCCGGGCGGGCGGAUGACCCCCAGCCCUACCCUUGGUGCCGCCUCCUCCUCUCUCCUUUCUCCUCCGGCAGCCAGCGCGCCUGUGUCCUCUCUAGGAAGGGGUAGGGGAGGGGCGUCUGGAGAGGACCCCCCGCGAAUGCCCACGUGACGUGCAGUCCCCCUGGGGCUGUUCCGGCCUGCGGGGAACAUGGGCGUGCUCAGGGUCGGACUGUGCCCUGGCCUUACCGAGGAGAUGAUCCAGCUUCUCAGGAGCCACAGGAUCAAGACAGUGGUGGACCUGGUUUCUGCAGACCUGGAAGAGGUAGCUCAGAAAUGUGGCUUGUCUUACAAGUCUUGAUAAACUGCUUGAUGCUGGUCUCUAUACUGGAGAAGUGACUGAAAUUGUAGGAGGCCCAGGUAGCGGCAAAACUCAGGUACAUGUGAGGCCAGCAGUCAGGAGGAUUUAGGGGUGAGGGUGGUAGAUGCAUAGCCCAGGGUCCCUGGGGGAGCUUCAGCGUACUAAUGGGUUCAGAGCCCAACAGAGAGAAGAUGGGUAAUAAG
rnacentral:lncRNA from 1 species